GGCCGGCGCGCCCGCGUUCCUUCCCCCCCCCAGGACCUUCCUGGAUCUGGUUCUUUGAGGUUACUGUUUAGAGGCCGGCGCGCGCCGGUGGGGACGCGAUCUCGUGGAAUGCGAGAGGGGCCGUGUAGAGUUGAAGGAGUCCGCAGCAGACCCAGGUCAAUGUCCUGGAAAGACCAGAAAAAGCAUUUGGAGCUUUAUGCCACUGCAGCCCCCCACCUAGAAAGUGGGAAGACCCUUCCCACUUAAGCUGUCUAUUAAAAUCUUCUUCAUAAGUCAAGGACAAAUUCUAAUCUCACCUCUUCAGUAAAGCCUGGUGUGAUGCAUUUCCUACUGAGAAGAGCUCAUUGGGAAACAAGAAUGAAAAAGAUACAAUGCUUGCCCUGGCAGAGUCUACAUUAUAAUAUGGAGACAAAACAUUUACUCGUGUAAAUGUAAUUUAAUAAGCAAUGUGUUUUUAAGUAUUUACAGGUGAGGUGACAGGAUCAUGAUAUCUUGGGUUUGUUUUAAAUGAUUCUAGGGAAGGUUGGCUGGGUGGCUCAGUCAGUUAAGUGCCAACUUUUGGUUUCGACUCAAGUUGGGAUCUAGGGAUCCUGGGGUAUAACCCUGCGUUGGGCUUCAGGUUCAGCACAGGGUCUGCUAAAGUUUCUCUCUUCCUCUCCCUC